UGGUUUGAUUCUGGCUCAGGACGAACGCUGGCGGCGUGCCUAACACAUGCAAGUCGAACGGAGCUCCGCCCUUCGGGACGGAACUUAGUGGCGAACGGGUGAGUAACGCGUGAAGAACCUGCCUUCCAGUGGGGGACAACAGUUGGAAACGACUGCUAAUACCGCAUGAUACUUUUGAGGGGCAUCCCUUGAAAGUCAAAGCUUUAAGUGCUGGAAGAUGGCUUCGCGUCUGAUUAGCUAGUUGGUGGGGUAACGGCCCACCAAGGCGACGAUCAGUAGCCGGUCUGAGAGGAUGAACGGCCACAUUGGGUCUGAGACACGGCCCAAACUCCUACGGGAGGCAGCAGUGGGGGAUAUUGGACAAUGGGGGGAACCCUGAUCCAGCGACGCCGCGUGAGUGAAGAAGUAUUUCGGUAUGUAAAGCUCUGUCAGCAGGGAAGAAAGAAAUGACGGUACCUGACCAAGAAGCCCCGGCUAACUACGUGCCAGCAGCCGCGGUAAUACGUAGGGGGCAAGCGUUAUCCGGAAUUACUGGGUGUAAAGGGAGCGUAGACGGUAGAGUAAGUCUGGAGUGAAAGGCGGGGGCCCAACCCCCGGACUGCUCUGGAAACUAUUCGACUAGAGUGCAGGAGAGGUAAGCGGAAUUCCUAGUGUAGCGGUGAAAUGCGUAGAUAUUAGGAGGAACACCAGUGGCGAAGGCGGCUUACUGGACUGUAACUGACGUUGAGGCUCGAAAGCGUGGGGAGCAAACAGGAUUAGAUACCCUGGUAGUCCACGCCGUAAACGAUGAUUACUAGGUGUCGGUGGGUAUGGACCCAUCGGUGCCGCAGCAAACGCAGUAAGUAAUCCACCUGGGGAGUACGUUCGCAAGAAUGAAACUCAAAGGAAUUGACGGGGACCCGCACAAGCGGUGGAGCAUGUGGUUUAAUCCGAAGCAACGCGAAGAACCUUACCAAGUCUUGACAUCUGGAUGACGAGGACUUAAUCGUCCUUUCUCUUCGGAGCAUCCAAGACAGGUGGUGCAUGGUUGUCGUCAGCUCGUGUCGUGAGAUGUUGGGUUAAGUCCCGCAACGAGCGCAACCCUUAUCUUCAGUAGCCAGCGAGUGAAGUCGGGCACUCUGGAGAGACUGCCGGGGAUAACCCGGAGGAAGGUGGGGAUGACGUCAAAUCAUCAUGCCCCUUAUGAUUUGGGCUACACACGUGCUACAAUGGCGUAAACAGAGGGAAGCGAGCCCGCGAGGGGGAGCGAAUCCCAAAAAUAACGUCCCAGUUCGGAUUGUAGUCUGCAACUCGACUACAUGAAGCUGGAAUCGCUAGUAAUCGCGGAUCAGAAUGCCGCGGUGAAUACGUUCCCGGGUCUUGUACACACCGCCCGUCACACCAUGGGAGUCGGAAAUGCCCGAAGUCUGUGACCCAACCGCAAGGAGGGAGCAGCCGAAGGCAGGUCGGAUGACUGGGGUGAAGUCGUAACAAGGUACCC
rnacentral:rRNA from 1 species